GUAGUACUCCCUCCGUUCGGAAUUACUUGUCACAAAAAUGGAUGUAUCUACAACUAAAAUACAUCUAGAUACAUUCAUUUCUUGGACGAGUAAUUACGAAUGGAGGGAGUAUGUA
rfam:Triticum aestivum genome assembly, contig: Triticum_aestivum_CS42_TGACv1_scaffold_366588_4DS